rnacentral:lncRNA from 1 species
CGGUUCAAAGACUCUCUUGACCAGAAAUGGCCUGAACUCUUUGCACGAACACCCUCCCUGUACAUAACUCCAUGUCCCCCUACAUGGCCUUGCUUUUGCUUUUUGAGCCAAAAAAUUAACUUAAACUUAACAUACUAAAUUUUACCCAUUGUAGUAAUUGUAUUAUAAUGAUUAUUAAAAUAAAAGUGAGAGAUAAGUAAAGACCCCUUCAAUCACAAAUGACCAUGGGAUUGCACCUAGAAAGUUCCCCCACCCAAGGCACAAGUCCAGGCAAGGUUAUUUAUGGAAGACCAGUAGUCACCCAUGCAUGCCAGUCUCCCUUCUUCAUGCCACCAAUGGUAUCCAAGGGAAAGGCAAAGGGACCGAUACAGCUUGGCACCUGUGACGUCGCAACUCAUUUCUACAGCUGAGUGAACUGGAGCAAUGUGAAAUAAAGCAUCUUGCUCAAGAACACAACAAACAGCCCAAUCCAGAAAUCAAACUAUUAAUCCCGUGAUUGCAAGCCCAAUGCUUUAACCACAGAGCCAUAAGUAGUAUGCUGCUAUUUCUAGUAGGUCAAGCAACUGUGGAGAAUCUAGACAGUAGCUCAACUUGAUAUAGAAAAUUUAGCUAGAUCUCAUCAGGCACAGGAAGUCAUUGACUUGUAAUGUUUAAAGUAAAUUUACAACUUUUGUCUUUAUUAAUUUUUUGUCCACUGUUAAUAGCUUAUACAACCCAUUCUUUGAGUAAAACUUAUAAAUUAUCAUCCAUUUUAAGUUAGUUGAGUUGUGAUACCUCACUCACCACCUAGGUAGGUGCUUCGAAAAAAAGAAGAUGGUGAAGAAUCACUGCUUUAGAGUAUAUGCUGCAUGGGUUGUUAUAUCAUUGGUUGGUAAUUGUGUAGAAUUUGAGUUUUGAGUGGUGUAUGUUGUAGUUUGGGGUUGUAUGAGGUUGUGUGUUAUAGUAUGAUGUGUCAGUUACAUACGAAUAUGUGUAAGUGUUUCUAUUAUUUUAUUUGGAUUGUGAUGUGUAAAGUAUGUGCUAUGUGGUUGUUAUUUCAUUGAAUGUAUUUUAACUGUAUUUUAACAUGUAUAAGGAACCCUUUUUUGUCAAAAGUUAGGUUAAAAAAUAUGGGAGUUUCUUAUACAUGGAUAGUAUUUUAAUCCCUUAAAGACCUUUUUUUCCAAAUUUUAAGCUCCAAAAAUUAGGGGGUUCCUUAUACACGUUAAAAUACAGUAUAUACCAUAUAAGUUGUAUGUUUCGUUUAUUGUCUGAGUUGUGCUAUUGAAUUGAAAGUGUCCUACAUAGGAUAUGUGCUAUUCCUAACAGCAUUUUUGGCUGUUUCAUAUGGGGUAAUAACCUCUGAUAUAACUUUUUAAUGCUUUUUUUUUUAUUGUGUUAUUAUUAUACCCAAUGCUCCAAUUAUUAUUUCAAGAUCCUUACACCUUGACAGUUCCUCAAAUUCCUUCAGGGCAAUGCUUUGGUCAAAAUAUUUAUCAGAGUACAGAGAUUUUCUUGCCAGAACUCGAUUCUCAUAUCUGAUUUGCAUUAAUCUUGAUCUGGACAGGCAUACCCAAUAUGAAUGUGGCCAGGUUGUAGUAAAGUGUCAUAAUUGGUACAUGUUUAUAUUACUUUUCAUCUGUUUGAUGAUAAUGGUCAUUCACUGUGUCUGGAAGGCGCUUUCAGCUUGACAACAACUGCAAUGUUGAAUUAGGCACAUAUACAGGGGUCUUGCAGUAGACUUUGUUUUUCUCCAGGUGUAUAAUGAUGGGUUUGAGGUAUCAGCAGACAUUCUUGAAGCAGGUUUGAUUUCCAUCUAGUAACCAUGCUUCCUCAUUGCAGCUUUCUUUGACUGAGUUCUUUUCUUGUAUCAAAUAUAGUCCAAUGAUUGUUACAUGUUAUCUUGAGAGUUGCCAGACACUAGCUGUGCCACAAGUUAAAAAUAAAUUAAUUAAUACCUUUGCAUUUUAUGAUCAGUGAUGGUCUGGGAUGUCACUGUGGGUGUUGACAAAAGCAACUGGCAAUAUUUUCCAAAUAACUUUUGUUUAAAGAUUAUGGACAAUUUUCAAAAUUCCUUGGCAUAGAAAAUCUGCCUGGAAAUAGCAGUCUUUGCCACUUUGAGAUAAGUUGCAUAGGCAUGGCAAUAUAAAAGUUGGACAUGUCUGGGAUGUGACACAAUGAAGAAACUGUUGUACAUAAACUCGUCCAGUGCUUAUGGAUUGCCUUCCCAGUUACUUUUGCAUGAAGGAAACUGAAACUAGUAUGAUGACUUUUUUUUUUGUUCCCAACUUCUUUUGCCAAGUCAAAGCAAACAGUUUUCUUCUUUUGGCCAGAGUGGAAGAUCUUGUGUAGUGGAUGAAAUUGAAAGGGUUGAUCUCAGAUUGCUUGUAUGUGAACAGAACCCUUAUCAAAGGUGAGAACAGAAGGAGAAGUAAAUUUUAUAAAAGAUGAUGAAUGAAAGUUGUUUUCUCUUUGAUAAGAGUGAAAGGUUCAAUAAUUCAGUUUUAUUUGCCAGCUGGAUCAGGGAGAAUGCAUUUGACAUAUGUUGACACUUGUUUGGGUUUUCAGAUUGUUUUUAUUUGUCCAGUAUAAAUAACUCAUAUUUACAAGAUGUAUGUAUUUGUUUUAUAGUGUAUAUUUAUUUUCUAAAUUAAAAAGAAAAUUUUUUUGAAUGUUCAACAUUUUUUCAAAGUUUGAAAGAACAAUGUUAAAGCUUUUGAUCUAACUUGUUAUUGUUUUUAUUUCUGAUGCCCUUGGGGCAAAUACAUGUUUAUCACUAUUAUUUAUAAAGGAAGGCAAGGAAGUUGAAUAAGUUAGUCAAGCACUAGAUCUUAUAAUUUGUUGUAUUUUGUGCUGCUUGUGGUUCAGAUCUUGCUAGCGCCAACACUUUGUCUUUCAUCCAACUGAGUUUGAUAUGUACCAAUAAUAAACUGCUGUCUAUAUAAUAAACUGCAUAUGUCCAUUUAAGAAAAAAUGGAUUUGUGCCUAAGAGAGAGAUAGUUUCAAUCAUGGAGCCAUUUUCACUAAAUUUAGGACAUAUGAUGUCGGUAAAGGAAUAUAAAAAUUACCACAAACCUUGAAGUACAAGGCUUUCAAACCUGGGU